GUUCGGUCCCCGAUGGCGUUUGAAGAGGCGGGCUGCCUCCUACAGAACCAACUUGGGAGGCGGGAUUCGGUUUAGCAGAAUCAUUAGGAGGAUCAGAGACUUUACUCGGUGGUGGAACCACAGUAGCUGUAUCAUUACUGCCUGUAGGUGCAGCUGGAGCCGUUCCGAUACCCAUCGGUGAAACAUUGUUAAGAGGCCGUUGUUCAUGCUGACGUUGAUCAGUUUGUGACUUGAUCGGCAAGCAGCCCACAUUCUUCUGAUUAUUCUGUUUAAGCAUUCUCUGAACU
rnacentral:lncRNA from 1 species